AUCCAGCCGACGAGUCCAAAUGAGGACGAAACGCGCAUCCUGGAU
rnacentral:hammerhead_ribozyme from 1 species